rnacentral:piRNA from 1 species
UCCUAGAACUGCCUGUGUAGACCAG